rnacentral:rRNA from 1 species
UGGGGAAUUUUGGACAAUGGGCGCAAGCCUGAUCCAGCAAUGCCGCGUGCAGGAUGAAGGCCUUCGGGUUGUAAACUGCUUUUGUACGGAGCGAAAAGGUCUGCCCUAAUACGGUGGGCUCAUGACGGUACCGUAAGAAUAAGCACCGGCUAACUACGUGCCAGCAGCCGCGGUAAUACGUAGGGUGCGAGCGUUAAUCGGAAUUACUGGGCGUAAAGCGUGCGCAGGCGGUUAUAUAAGACAGAUGUGAAAUCCCCGGGCUCAACCUGGGACCUGCAUUUGUGACUGUAUAGCUAGAGUACGGUAGAGGGGGAUGGAAUUCCACGUGUAGCAGUGAAGUGCGUAGAUAUGCGGAGGAACACCGAUGGCGAAGGCAAUCCCCUGGACCUGUACUGACGCUCAUGCACGAAAGCGUGGGGAGCAAACA